rfam:Pyrolobus fumarii 1A, complete genome.
ACUCCGGUUGAUCCUGCCGGACCCGACCGCUAUCGGGGUGGGACUAAGCCAUGGGAGUCGUGGGCCCCCGGGUACGCGGGGGCCCGGCGGACGGCUGAGUAACACGUGGCCAACCUACCCUCGGGACGGGGAUAACCCCGGGAAACUGGGGCUAAUCCCCGAUAGGCGAGGGGGCCUGGAACGGGUCCCUCGCCGAAAGGGUGCGGGGGGCAUCCUCCCCCGCGCCGCCCGAGGAUGGGGCUGCGGCCCAUCAGGUAGUUGGCGGGGUAACGGCCCGCCAAGCCGACGACGGGUAGGGGCCGUGGGAGCGGGAGCCCCCAGAUGGGCACUGAGACAAGGGCCCAGGCCCUACGGGGCGCACCAGGCGCGAAACCUCCGCAAUGCGGGCAACCGUGACGGGGUCACCCCGAGUGCCCCCUUGCGGGGGCUGUUCCCCGCUGUAGAAAGGCGGGGGAGUAAGCGGGGGGCAAGUCUGGUGUCAGCCGCCGCGGUAAUACCAGCCCCGCGAGCGGUCGGGACGAUUAUUGGGCCUAAAGCGCCCGUAGCCGGCCCGGCAAGUCCCCCCCUAAAGCCCCGGGCUCAACCCGGGGAGUGGGGGGGAUACUGCCGGGCUAGGGGGCGGGAGAGGCCGAGGGUACUCCCGGGGUAGGGGCGAAAUCCUAUAAUCCCGGGAGGACCACCAGUGGCGAAGGCGCUCGGCUGGAACGCGCCCGACGGUGAGGGGCGCAAGCCGGGGGAGCAAACCGGAUUAGAUACCCGGGUAGUCCCGGCUGUAAACGAUGCGGGCUAGGUGUUGGGCGGGCUUUGAGCCCGCCCAGUGCCGCAGGGAAGCCGUUAAGCCCGCCGCCUGGGGAGUACGGCCGCAAGGCUGAAACUUAAAGGAAUUGGCGGGGGAGCACCACAAGGGGUGGAGCCUGCGGCUUAAUUGGAGUCAACGCCGGGAACCUUACCGGGGGCGACAGCAGGAUGACGGCCAGGCUGACGACCUUGCCCGACGCGCUGAGAGGAGGUGCAUGGCCGUCGCCAGCUCGUGCCGUGAGGUGUCCGGUUAAGUCCGGCAACGAGCGAGACCCCCACCCCUAGUUGCUACCCCGGGGGCCACCCCGGGGGCACACUAGGGGGACUGCCGCCGUCCAAGGCGGAGGAAGGAGGGGGCCACGGCAGGUCAGCAUGCCCCGAAUCCCCCGGGCUGCACGCGGGCUACAAUGGCGGGGACAGCGGGACCCGACCCCGAAAGGGGGAGGCAAUCCCUUAAACCCCGCCGCAGUUGGGAUCGAGGGCUGCAACUCGCCCUCGUGAACGAGGAAUCCCUAGUAACCGCGCGUUAGCAUCGCGCGGUGAAUACGUCCCUGCUCCUUGCACACACCGCCCGUCGCUCCACCCGAGCGGGGGAGGGGCGAGGCCCGGCCCCCCGGGGGUAAGCCCCGGGAUGGGCCGGUGAAGCUCGAGACGAGGAGAGUGGAUGGCUCCCCGGGGACCCAGUCCCCCGGGGGGUCGGGCCGAGCCCCUCCCCCCGCGAGGGGGGAGAAGUCGUAACAAGGUAGCCGUAGGGGAACCUGCGGCUGGAUCACCUCCU